CAGCUUACUGGAACUAUAUUGACGCUGAGGAACGAAAGCGUGGGUAGCGAAAAGGAUUAGAUACCCUUGUAGUCCACGCCCUAAACGAUGAUAACUAAGUGUUCCCGCUAGACGGGAGUGCUGAAGCUAACGCGAUAAGUUAUCCACCUGAGGAGUACGGUCGCAAGACUAAAACUCAAAGGAAUAGACGGGGACCCACACAAGCAGUGGAUCACGUGGUUUAAUUCGACAAUAAACGGGGAACCUUACCCAGACUUGACAUCUACCGAAUCCUCUAGAGAUAGAGGAGUACCUUUAUCGGAACGGUAAGACAGGUGCUGCAUGGUUGUCGUCAGCUCGUGCCUUGAGGUGUUCGGUUAAGUCCGUUAACGAGCGCAACCCAUGUCGUUAGUUAUUAUGUCUAACGAGACUGCCUUGGUUAACAAGGAGGAAGGUGUGGAUGACGUCAAAUCAGCAUGGCUUUUACGUCUGGGGCUACACACAUGAUACAAUGGUUUAUACAAAGAGCAACAAUAUGGCAACAUGGAGUUAAUCUUUAAAGUAAAUCUCAGUCCGGAUUGAGGUCUGCAACUCGACCUCAUGAAGUUGGAAUUGCUAGUAAUCGUGAAUCAGAUAUGUCACGGUGAAUAUGUUCCUGCCCCUUG
rnacentral:rRNA from 1 species